AAACUGGAGAGUUUGAUCCUGGCUCAGAACUAACGCUGGCGGCGUGCCUAACACAUGCAAGUCGUACGAGAAAGUUGGCUUCGGCCGAUGAGUAAAGUGGCGCACGGGUGAGUAAUGCGUGGAUAAUCUGCCCUUUAGUUGGGAAUAACGUACCGAAAGGUGCGCUAAUACCUGAUAAUACUGCAUAACUACUGUUGUGUAGUCAAAGAAGGCCUCUGUUUACAAGCUUUUGCUGAAGGAUGAGUCCGCGUACCAUUAGCUGGUUGGUGGGGUAAUGGCCUACCAAGGCUACGAUGGUUAGCUGGUCUGAGAGGAUGAUCAGCCACACUGGAACUGAGACACGGUCCAGACUCCUACGGGAGGCAGCAGUGAGGAAUAUUGCGCAAUGGGGGCAACCCUGACGCAGCAACGCCGCG
rnacentral:rRNA from 1 species